AAUUUUAAAUUUUGAACAGGUUGGGCUGUUGAUUGUAGAUGGGUACUACAACAGAUUGCUUGCUCUAUUUGACCACUAAUAUAAGAAAUUUAGAUGGGUACUACAUCCAAAGCUAGCCUAAGUUAUUUCUUCUAGUUCAUUGAAUUUUGGGACCAAUAGCUCUAAACUAUAGUUAACCUAUCUUCUAUUCUCUAGUUUGUGAUUGUUGUAGAUGAUGAAAAUGGUGAUGAAGAAGGAGAUCUUAUCAUGGAAGCAUAUCUUACAAGUUUAAUGUCAUUUGUUUCAUUUCAGUUAUCAGUCUCUUCUAUAUUUUAUCAAAUCAAUAAAAGCUUUCACAAUCUCAAACAAUAAAACUAACAAUCAUCAACAUCCAUGAAGAUGAAAGCUUCACAAGAUGUUAAAAAUCUUACACAUUGAAGAGAAUAGAAAAGAAGAAGAAGAAGAUCAGGAAAAUACAUCAGGUUUAUUUUCUUCUUCUUAGACCUUCAUAUGAUUUGGCUUAGCUCCUGGAAAGGGAUGAAUUAUUUUUUUAGUUCUUCCUUCCAGCUCUUCAAAAUAUGAUGCGACUGGAAUUCCUAAUACAAACCUGCAUUUCAUCUUUUAUACACUUCAGCUUUCAACCCACCCACCAUGUCAUGUGCCAAGCACAUGCCAUGUCACCAACCUGACACUGUUUCAUUUCCCUUCAUCUGAAUUUGAAUAUCAAAUUGAAGACUCAAUUGCAUUAUGAAGGAUUUCUCUGAUGGAUAACAUUUGUACAUAUCCCUCACGUGCUAGAGACUGGUUAAAUUGUGGUAGGUUACAGUGGCAUGUAUGGCUACACACCAAAUUAGCAACAACUUACAGAGCAAAAAAAAAAAAAACAAUUCUACAAGUGAUCUUCCUAACCUAUCCAUGCUAGAUUGUCAUGUGUACAGUGUGCAUGUAGAUGAACAUAUGGAUAAAAUACAUGCAUGCUUGUUGGUGCUUCCUGUUGAAAGGGUUGAAGCCCUAAUUUCUCCUACAGGGAACCGACAUUUCAACAAGGCCCUAAAACAAGAUUUGACAUGCAGUCAACAAUGCUAACAGAAUCCUCCAGGAUGAUAGAAUAUACGAAGCUGUUGCAGGAAGUGACUUUGUCAUUACUAGAUGUUCAUUUUGAGACGACUCUUCAAAGUACUACAUAAAUGAGUGUGGAAGUAAUUUUACAGAGGUCACUAAGAAAUUGAAAGGAAAAGGAGUGGACUUGGACUACAAUCGGUUUUUUAUUCUUCAGGGUGAAGUCGAGCAAAUUUCUCUAAUGAAGCCAAAGAUUUGUAUUUUCAGCAUUAUUGUAAUUGUAAUUGAUUGAAUGAAGGAUUGUAAUUGUAAUUGAUUGAAUGAAGGAUUGUAAUUGAUUGAAUGAAUGAUUGUAAUUGAUUGUAAUUGAAUGAAUGAAUGAUUGUAAUUGAUUGUAAUGGAAUGAAUGAAUGAUUAUGCAGGUGGUAAUUGAAUGAACAAAUAAUUGUAUAUA